ensembl:lncRNA
GUUUUGCUUAGUUUUAUUUCUAUGAAACAGGUUGCUUUAUUUGUGAACAAAGCCUUGAUGGUCUUUGUUUUUCCUCCAGUGCUUUUUCAGGCAAAGCUCAAGAAACAUUAAAUAAAAACACGAAACUGAGGAGCAGCUGAUGGACUGUGGCUCUGGACCCAGAAUAAUUAAGACUGAGGCUGUUAUCACUUCUUUUUGUAUUAUGAACAUUGUGAUGUUAGCGUUGAUAAAAUCAAUGCAUACAUCUUUAAAAAAAGUAUCAGAAAGAAAAAACAUAGAGCCUGGAUUCACCUUUCAGGGGGACUCGGUGAGAAGGAAAUGAUUGUUUGUCACUCUGGAUGCAUCAGAAGAAGGAUGUAGGUGGUUCUCUCAGAGUGACACUCUCCCUUCAGUGCUGGGGAGGAGUGUUGUAGCAGUUCAAAGCCAUGGAAAUCAAUGGAAAUGUCCCUGGAGAAGCGAGACUGGGUUUGCAUGGAAAGAGCAUGGACACAUUUAGGAACCUGCUCGAGCAGGCAUCUGCAGGAAAGCCACUAAGUGCACAAGCCUCUUUGCAAAGUGGAUCCUUGUGUCUGAUUCUCAGCAUGAAAUGACUGCAUGGCUCCAGCCCAAGAACAGCACUGACAUCUCCGGCUUGCAGACAGUUUCUGUGCAUCAUCUUGCCAUGCUGCUGAUGGGAAAGCUUCCUGCAGGCCACGGCUGGGAAAGGUGCUGGCAAAUGCCACUUCUGUUGGUGCCUCUCCCAGCAUGGAAGCCUUGGGAAGAUCUCAAGAAUCCAUCUACACCAUCCUUCAGCCCCAAGGCAGGAUAAGCGCUGGCUUAGGACCACUCCCAGAAUGUUUGCCCAACCUGUUCCUAAAAGCCUGAGUGAUGCCAAGCUGCCUUCUCUGCCCAUGCAGUCUGGUGUUUGUGCUCGACCAAGAGAAGAGCCAUCCUUGCUUCCCCAACCCAAACCAUAUGUUGUUUUGAUUCCAUCUAAAUCUCAUCUUGAAAUCAUCUUCCAGAUUUUUUUUUUUAAUAAUCUCAAUGUUAUGUCAUUCGUCUGUUGACUUAUUGGGUGAGGGAUGAAAAUCCUAGUGUAUCAGACUAUGUUUGGAAACUUUCCUGUUUAUUUAAACUGCUUGGCACCACGUAGAUGCCUGAGGUGCUUUCUGUGGGCGAAAGACAGUAGGAUGUAAUAUAGAGAAUGAGGCAACAAGAUGCUUUGACUCCUACGAUGGCCUUGGCUGAAGCUUGCAAUUUGCUUUCUAGAGAUUGCCCACAAGGAAAACAUGGAAAAGCACAAUAGACACAUGGAGACACGGUUCUGUCCAGGUGCCUUCUGGCCCGACACACAGAGCAACAGGAGCAAAUCCCAAUUACCAACCAGGUGUUUUACUUAUUUGCCACCCCCUUUGCACCACUCCAAGUAAAGCCUCUUUGCCUCUCUGAUGGAAGCAAGAUCCUCCCAGGGACCUUAACCACCAGCCUCUAAUAUAGAUCCUGAUCACCUUUGAGAUGUUCCUACUGAAAUUUUUUUGGAGCAUCCAAGAAACAUCAAGGUUGCAGAACAAAAACAACUGAGGAUUUAUGCACUUUUUAGACUAUGCAAGCAUGAGCAGGAUAUUAUGGACAAAAGAUCUGGACGUAAGCAUCCAAACAUGGAUUUUGAUGAACAUGAUGCCCAAGUUCAUCAUUGGGUCUAAACCUGAUUGUACCACAUUUUGGGGUUAUUCUUCCAGGAAUGAACUGAUAAUCAGCAUUUAUCCCAAGAAAUACAGCUACCGAAGUCUCUGUGUUUUCCAGAGAUCAUCAGUUCAAGGAACAACACUCAUUUCAGCAGAGUACAGUGUUGAUGUUGAGUCAAGCUCCCAGUCUUGCUAGGGAUGGAUCAGCAGAGCUGCUACACGGUAAACAGUGGAAAUAAAUCCAACAAAUGGAGGGAAAAAAAAGCUUUACUGUAGAAAAUGACUGCUUCUGCUAGAAAAUCCCAUGGAAGACAGGUUGCUGUCAUGGCACCCCAGCCUUUGGCAUGGCUGGGGAGUUCCUCCUGCACACAAGUGUUAGGAUGCAUGGAAUCAAGAAGGACCCUCCUUAAAUAACAAUAAUAGUAAUAAUAGUUUUCUGAUUAUUUGCCAUGAGAAAAUGGUUGCCCACAUGAUCUGCCUGUGCAGAGACUCACCUUCAGUGUUUCCUGCUGUAUUUGCUGGCGAUGGGGCAGGAACCAGUUGCCCUAACAGGUUCCAAAUGCUGGCAGGAAGCUCAGCAUCCCCACAUCACCAAAUCUGCCAUCCUUCUGUCACUCGAGGCUGAGGCUCAGGGAUGUCUCCACAUGCAGCCACCAUCCCUUCCAGAGCAGGGCAGAAUCAAUGCCACUGCCACAGCCACCUCUUUGAGGAAGGUCUUCUACCUCCAGUGACAGCGGUACAGGAGCCAUAGUAAAAAAUGAACAACUCUCAAGCCAGUAACACUCCACCUUCACCUCCUGCUGCAACCUGAACUGCAGGUUGAAUGGUAACCACAAUGAUGGUGCUUCAAAACCUGGGUUCAGCUCGCAGCUCAGCUGUGCUGCUUGUUCCUGCCGUGAUCCAAAAGGGAUGGGGACUGGCUCAUCCCAGGCAUGUGGGUGAGCACAGCAAGAUCAGAGAAUCA